rnacentral:siRNA from 1 species
CCAAACCCGUCCUACCAUCUA